UUUUGUGUGUUUUAACAGAUCCAAGGACGACGACCUUCAAGAGGACGAACAUCAAGGACCAACAACAAAAACAAAGAUAAGUAUUAUUGUCUAGUAAAAAAUAAACUUAACUAGAGUUUCAUUUGUGUUUGACUUGAAAUUGUCUUCACGUGUCUCACUGGUAUCUUUUGAUUUUGUGUGUAUUAACAGAUCCAAGGAAGACUCAAGGAAAGAAGGAAAACGUUGAGGCUAGUCUUGAAAGAAAUGUGACAAUGGCGACAUGGAUGAAGAAUUACCACAAAGGAAAACUUCUGCUUCAAAAUGCACCGCCUGACUGGUUUGUCUGUAGAAAUAUGGUGGCGCACGAUGGCAUCUUUGUAAAGCAAGGCCUUUGCCUAAACGCAACAUGGCCAGCAGCAGAACAGUCAGCAUCAGCAGCAGGACCUCCAGCUGCAGCGGCAGAACAGUCGGAAGCAACAGCAGCAGCAGUGGCAGUGGUGUUACAGUGAGAAGACAGUGUCACUGUCUCUCACCAACUUUUGCACUGUUUUUGAGAAACAUGGUGGCGCACGAUGGCAUCUUCCGUAAUGCAAGGCCUUUGCCCAAACUGAAAUCAGUUAUUAUAGAUCCCAAUCAGCGCAACACAGCCAGCAGCAGCGGUGGAACAGUGAGAAGCAGCAGCAGCGACGGAACGGUGAGAAGCUUUUGAGGAACUACCGAAGACACUUUGGAAACACAGCAGCAAAGAUGUCCCUCUCUGACUGGCAGGAAAAGAACUUGAAAGCCCACGCUCGCUUUUCCAAAAGUCCCCGUCCCUGAAGACACAGUCUCACACCAACUUUUGCACUGUGUUUGCAGUUUUGCAUGUUUCUCUUUGUGUGAGUUUUAUAUAUAGAUAGCAUGUUUUAAUAAUUUUAUAAUAAAAAGUUUUC